CCUACGGGAGGCAGCAGUGAGGAAUAUUGGUCAAUGGUCGGGAGACUGAACCAGCCAAGCCGCGUGAGGGAUGAAGGUACAGUGUAUCGUAAACCUCUUUUGUCAGGGAACAAAGGCGGGGACGUGUCCCCGGAUGAGUGUACCUGAAGAAAAAGCAUCGGCUAACUCCGUGCCAGCAGCCGCGGUAAUACGGAGGAUGCGAGCGUUAUACGGAUUUAUUGGGUUUAAAGGGUGCGCAGGCGGUCUGUUAAGUCAGCGGUAAAAGCCCGGGGCUCAACCCCGGCCCGCCGUUGAAACUGGCAGUCUCGAGUUGGAGAGAAGUAUGCGGAAUGCGCGGUGUAGCGGUGAAAUGCAUAGAUAUCGCGCAGAACUCCGAUUGCGAAGGCAGCAUGCCGGCUCCACACUGACGCUGAGGCACGAAAGCGUGGGUAUCGAACAGGAUUAGAUACCCCAGUAGUC
rnacentral:rRNA from 1 species